rnacentral:tRNA from 1 species
CGGAGUGUGGCUCAGUCUGGUAGAGCACCUCGUUCGGGACGAGGGGGUCGCAGGUUCAAAUCCUGCCACUCCGA